AUGCGUGCUAAGAAAGAUGCAUUUAUAAGAGCGUGUUCUUCUAGUUCCUAUGAAAAUAAAGAUGAAGAUCUAAAAGUUAUUGAUGUGUCCCCUAUUAAAUCUUUGUUUUGCAAUAUGAAUCUUGAUAAUGAUGGGACUGAAUAUGAUCCACCUUUACCUAGAAGGCGUUCCAAGAAUUCGGAAUUUGUUGAUCUUGAUGCUAAAUUUGAUAAAAGUGGGAUUGAAGAAAUUAAAACCCUAGAUGUUGCUAAACCCACUAUUAUGGAUUUCAAGGAAUUUAACUAUGAAAAUUGCUCUUUUAUUGAUUGUAUUUCCUUGUUGCAAUCUGUGCUAAAUUCUCCUCAUGCUUAUAGUCAAAAUAAAGCGUUUACUAAACAUAUCAUUGAUGACUUGAUGCAAUCUUAUGAAUAA
rnacentral:rRNA from 1 species